CAGCAGCCGCGGUAAUACGGGGGAUGCAAGCGUUAUCCGGA
rnacentral:rRNA from 13 species